rnacentral:lncRNA from 1 species
AUACAACAGCCAGGAAAUUGGCCUGUUUACUUUAAGAUCCCAAGAAAAUGUAACAUAUUUUGGAUGUGCUUUGAGGAAUCAGGAAUGCAAGUGUUUCCUCUUGUUUAUGAAGCAACUAAGUUGGUUAAGGGGCAAACAACUUGUGAGCAUGGUACAUCACUACCUGUAUUGGUAUUCCAUUUUGACAAUGUUACUAGCUAGAAUAGAAAUAACAUCUUGCUGUGGUACAGUCUGUGGAGACUUUUACUAGGAUAUCACAGAUCGACUG